ensembl:snRNA U6 U6 spliceosomal RNA
AUGAAAACAGCACAUAUACUAAAAUUGGAACAAUACAGAGAUUAGCAUGGUCCCUGCGAAAGGAUGACACGCAAAUUCAUGGAGCGUUCCAUAUUUUU